AGUAAAGAAAGGCAUCAUGUUGCAUGGAUGACAUUGAUUAAGAAGAAGGAGUGUGAUGUUCUGUAACCAUCAGUCCAUGCCUGACCAAGUUUCCCAUGAGAUUAAUUUUACAGAGUUUUCAGAAUGAAGUUGUCCUGGAAUCACGCAUGGUUCUGCCACUCCUUCUCCUACAGUUGGAAAGAGAGACAAAAAAGGACAAUCAGCAACAAGAUUGAUGGACUUGAUUUACUACAGCAAGGGGUGCAACACUGAAAGAUUUGAAAUGCCAGG